GCCAUUUGAUGGUUUUGAAAAAGCUUACAUAACUCCUUUGAGCUCCAUAUUUCUGUCAAAUUUUCCUUCUCUAAAAAAGUCUCACUACUCUAUUCCAAGCGUUGAGAAUAGCUAGGAAGACCUCUUGGUGGUACUCAUUGGAGCUAUUUGAAGAAAUUUGAAAAGCUACAAAGACAAAGAGUAUUGCCCAUAUUUGGUCUGGGUUGCAUAGUUGAAGAAGACCACAAACCACACAACUUCUUGUAGAUCAUGGUCAAUCUAUCUAAUUAUUCAAGAUCUGUGUAUUUAUGCGCUCUGUAGUCAGCCCAAAGGAAGACUUCAGUUUGGCCAAAUAAUAGGUCCAGUACAUAUAGUUAUGGUGAUAAACAUGGAUAACAUAAAGUUAUGCCAUGUGAGUGAUUGUCAGCCGAAAGGAAGGCUUUCACUUGACAGGAUUGGUUAUUAAUGUUUGAUCACCACAUUGAGAGUACCACUUGCAAGUUGAUAUUGCUGGCCCAAAGAAAAGCUAUCAAUGUUGUGCUAGGUAUCUUGUUGUCCUCAUCGAGUUUAUAAAAGGUUAAUUUCGAGUAUGUUUUAUUAUUGAAUUAGUUAUUGUUAAAU